CUCUGCCCUCUCCUAUCUCUCUAAUCUAGUCUUAGUUUUUUCGCCUGGAGCAUUUUUGCCUAUUAUGUUCUUUCUGUUUGUAAAUUUUACAUAUAUAAUCCGUUUUCUUCUCUCUUAUAUCUAUAUCAUUACGAAUUCGCACUGAUUUUGGACGACUCUUUUUUGACCUCCGCAUAAACUCAUUUGGAAUUAAGGUAGAACCAGAAUAUAGUUGUCAAUAAUUCCUAUCUGGUAUGAGAUUAAAUCUAGAACAUCAUGUUAUUGUUAGUGUCUCAACAGAGUAAUAUUUAUCAACAAAAGAUUGGUAGUCUAUUACAUGUAUAGAACAAGUUGUCAAAAUAUGAUAGUAAAAAUAAUGAUAAAUUUUAACUUCUAACAUGUUGGGGAAUAGGAGAGGAAAGAGGAAAAAAUAAUUUUCCAUCCACUUAACAUAUUAAUCUAUAUAAAAAUUAUUAACUUUUUUUUUUUCUAAUUUACAAAAAUGAGGCUAGGUUAGGAAUAUUU
rnacentral:lncRNA from 1 species